rnacentral:tRNA from 1 species
UGGCUCAGACGGUAAAGCGUCUGCCUGCAAUGCAGGAGACCCGGGUUCGAUCCCUGG